rnacentral:tRNA from 1 species
GCCUGGGUGGCUCAGUCAGUUAAGCGUCUGACUUCAGCUCAGGUCAUGAUCUCACUCUUUGUGGGUUCAAGCCCCAUGUUGGGCU